CAAGUAAAUAUAUCCGAUUUUAAUAAGUGCCACGAAAUUUAGAAAAGAUUAUUUAAAUUAAAAAAUAAUAAUAAUUGGGGUUGAGAAGAAGGUAAGGGCCGAAGACUCGUUCAUCUCUCAUUUCAAUUCUCAAGUGCUGAAAAAAAGGAAAUAGUGGAAAGUUAUAUGGAUAGCAAAUCACCGAGCAAGAAGGCAUCUGAGGAGCUGGCACGUGAGUUGCUUAUUGCUAUCUCUGAUUCUUUACCAGAAAAAAUUCUGGAUUCAGAUCCUGUGCCUGAAAGCAAGGUAGCAGAUGGCUUUGCGACACCAAACAGUGAUUGGGACGACAAGUUUAGGUCUGAAUUGAUUUCCAUCUCAUAUGUUGAAUUUCCUGAUGUCGAAAUCUGAUGCAUUACAAGGGAGUCUAGACUCUGUUAGUAACAUAUACUGCACUGCUGGUUGUUUAUGUGGUUGAAUUUCCGCUGCGCCAAUUGUUAUGACUUGGUUAUACUAUGUCAGCUAUCUUGCAACAUGUAGAUACUUUCACCAGUCACAUUAUUAGUUUUGUUCUAAAAAUGGCACUUAUAAAUAGUUUUCUUUUAUGUCUUGGUUCAUAAAAAUUCAAACUGGAGAAUGUUAAUGGCAUGUGAUAAAAUAACACUAAAAUCUUAGAUUCA